UUUUUCUUACAUAACUAAAAAAAUUUAAAGUACACGUGAGUAGGGACGGAUGCCUUGUCCCUACUCACGUGUACUUUAAAUUUUUUUAGUUAUGUAAGAAAA
rnacentral:pre_miRNA from 1 species